CCUAUGGGUGGCAGCAGUGAGGAAUAUUGGUCAAUGGGCGGAAGCCUGAACCAGCCAAGUAGCGUGAGGGAUGAAUGCCCUACGGGUUGUAAACCGCUUUUGUAAGGGGAGAACACUCUCCACGUGUAGUCGGCUGCAGGUACCUUAUGAAUAAGCGUCGGCUAACUCCGUGCCAGCAGCCGCGGUAAUACGGAGGGUUCGAGCGUUAUCCGGAUUUAUUGGGUUUAAAGGGUGCGUAGGCGGUAUGUUAAGUUAGCGGUAAAAUGGCGCGGCUUAACCUUGAUCGGCCAUUGAAACUGGAGUACUAGAGUACAGAAGAGGUAGGCGGAAUAAGUGGAGUAGCGGUGAAAUGCAUAGAUAUAA
rnacentral:rRNA from 1 species